ACCCCGGUUCAAGUUGGUUUCGACCUUGAAACCCACGUUUAAAUUGGAUAUUUUCCACUUCAUGAGCGAUUCACAACGGUCUCACUACAGAAUCACCUCCCCUGUAUGGCACUUUCUGUUCCAAAAUGUCGAGCUGCAUUUAUGAGUGGGACAAGGAUGACACAGCCAUCUGAAAAGAAGCAAAGACUUCAGAGCUCAGAAACUACAUGCUGGUCAGACUCCUUCAGAAGCGCAAUUUCUGGCCAACAUUCAGCCUCCAGCGGAACUGGCGAACACUGCAGAGGAGAACUCGUGGGUAGAGGAAAGCCGUGCCCUCAUCCAGGAUUAUGCUCAACUCAAUGUGGGAGCCACUGGACACAUCAGGGCUUGAGGCUAUCAAUCCUGAGAGCAUGACACGUGUGUGGGAGGGUUCAACAAAAACAUUUGCCGAUGCAUUCAGGAUCCUCCCGUGCGUGUGGAACUGUACACCAAAGUGAUCAGGGUCUACAAAAGGGCGGUAAGGUUUCUGGAGGUCCUAAGAUGUGGCAGAGGUUUCCUCUUCUGUGAAGAAUCCAUGGCAUCAGGAACACCUUCAUCCCGGGUAAAAAUAAUAAUAUAUAAAAAAUUCUGCUUUUGAAUUGUCAUAAAAAACAGUCUCAAGUGUAUGAUACAUUGCACACAUGGGGAAAGUAUCAUCGUUCAUAAAUGCCAAAUUAUAUUUGAAUGUUUUCCUUUUUUUAAAGGCGUGGAGAUCUAAUGCCAUGCACACGCAAAUGUAACUGCUUGAAGGGAGUUCCAGAUGGAAAAUGGAAUCGAGCCCAUGCAGCUGUUCAUGUGAGUGGCGCUCACAAAACAGGAUCUACGAUGUCCGAUAAGACUAUCUAAAUGCCCUCAGCCAGCGAGUUUCUUGGGUUGGGCCCCUACUACCAGAAUUCCUACCCCCCUGGGAAACCCACUGGUGAGCGUAUUGCUGUGGGUAUUUGCUGCGCUCAGUCUGAACAGCAGGAGAUCUUGCUGGCGGUACAACAGGACAGUGAAACUUGGCACCAUUGUUCCAGACGCCAGGUUUGAAGUUCAGGAGGAGGAGGAGUGCCUUGACAUCACAAUGAGUGAUGCCAGUGGAAAGAUCCUCAGUCAGACGCCCCUCGGACACUUCAGCACCCGCGGUGCUUUCUGCUCCCUGUAUCUCACACACAUCCACUCAACAUCAUCUCAGCCGUUGGCACUAUUCCCCCCAAGUGAUGCAGCUGAGAGCCACUGAAGAGCCCAGCCUGAAAUCCACUCAGAGUAUUUCUCUUCCUGCCUGACUCACCCGGACGCGUCCACUUUACACAACCUCUCAGGAUACCCACUGUGAUUCUCGAGGUGUUCCAUGGGUGGGAAGGCUGUGGAUGACUUGGCAAAGUAUCUUGUUCUCUUAAUAGAACAAAUAACGGCAUUGGUCAGUAGGCGAGACGGAUGAGAUUGUGAGGCUGUAUUCAAAGCUACCAUCAAAAUGGAUAAGCAACCACAACCUAUAGCCUGAAGUCCAAAAAAAGGACCUUGCCUGGACCAUGGAGAGUCUUCAGGAAACGAAUGGCUCUGCUCCAGGCCAACAAAGCAGCUGAAAGACUAUUCAUGGACCCAUGGUCAGGCUGCUCUGAGACUUGAUGCCAACGGCAUAUGUGAUGUGUUUCACUCAGGCUUUGAAGGGAGUUUGAGCUUGCAAGAAACCAACCAAAGACAGCAAAGUAAAACCUUACCUAUUUCCGCAGUCGAUGGUGAAUCAUACGUCCACAUUAAACAACUGCUGGGAAGACCAGCCUCGUCAUACGGAGCAGAACGGACUGGUGCUUGUCACUAUAAACAACACCACUGUGUCUUGUUUGGUAAGAGAUUUUGGCUACAUUCUCUUUAAACAGUUCACUUAUAGAUGGGAUUCACUUUGUAACAACUCUCAAU